UGACGUUGGGAAAGCGAGCGGCGGAUGGGUGAGUAACACGUGGGGAACCUGCCCCUAAGUCUGGGAUACCAUUUGGAAACAGGUGCUAAUACCGGAUAAUAAAGCAGAUCGCAUGAUCAGCUUUUGAAAGGCGGCGUAAGCUGUCGCUAAGGGAUGGCCCCGCGGUGCAUUAGCUAGUUGGUAAGGUAACGGCUUACCAAGGCGACGAUGCAUAGCCGAGUUGAGAGACUGAUCGGCCACAUUGGGACUGAGACACGGCCCAAACUCCUACGGGAGGCAGCAGUAGGGAAUCUUCCACAAUGGACGCAAGUCUGAUGGAGCAACGCCGCGUGAGUGAAGAAGGUUUUCGGAUCGUAAAGCUCUGUUGUUGGUGAAGAAGGAUAGAGGUAGUAACUGGCCUUUAUUUGACGGUAAUCAACCAGAAAGUCACGGCUAACUACGUGCCAGCAGCCGCGGUAAUACGUAGGUGGCAAGCGUUGUCCGGAUUUAUUGGGCGUAAAGCGAGCGCAGGCGGUAAAA
rnacentral:rRNA from 1 species